ACAUGCAAGUCGAACGAAAAUACCAAGCUUGCUUGGUUGAUUAGUGGCGAACGGGUGAGUAACACGUGAGUAACCUGCCCCUUACUUUCUGGAUAACUGCUCGAAAGGGUAGCUAAUACGGGAUAUUCUGGCCUUCCUGCAUGGGUUGGUCUGGAAAGGUUUUUUUUCUGGUGAGGGAUGGGCUCGCGGCCUAUCAGCUUGUUGGUGGGGUGAUGGCCUACCAAGGCUUUGACGGGUAGCCGGCCUGAGAGGGUGGACGGUCACACUGGGACUGAGAUACGGCCCAGACUCCUACGGGAGGCAGCAGUGGGGAAUAUUGCACAAUGGGCGCAAGCCUGAUGCAGCGACGCCGCGUGAGGGAUGAAGGCCUUCGGGUUGUAAACCUCUUUCGUCAGGGAACAAGGCAUCACUUUUGGUGGUGUUGAGGGUACCUGGAUAAGAAGCGCCGGCUAACUACGUGCCAGCAGCCGCGGUAAUACGUAGGGCGCAAGCGUUGUCCGGAAUUAUUGGGCGUAAAGAGCUCGUAGGCGGCUGGUCGCGUCUGUCGUGAAAACUUCCGGCUCAACCGGGGGCUUGCGGUGGGUACGGGCCGGCUAGAGUGCGGUAGGGGUAACUGGAACUCCUGGUGUAGCGGUGGAAUGCGCAGAUAUCAGGAAGAACACCGAUGGCGAAGGCAGGUUACUGGGCCGUUACUGACGCUGAGGAGCGAAAGCGUGGGGAGCGAACAGGAUUAGAUACCCUGGUAGUCCACGCUGUAAACGUUGGGCACUAGGUGUGAGGCUCCUUUCCGGGGGU
rnacentral:rRNA from 1 species